AAACUUUUUUUUUUCUUUCGCGUUUCAGUUUUUCUCAACCCUCUCUCUUUUCUCUUUGUUUUCUCCGACGGCGAAUCUCUUUGAGCUUCAUUUCCGGCGAUGUACAUCAUCAAAUCGGAAGUAAAAAGCGAAGCAACGUUGUAAACAAUAAGCCGUGAUGCUCAUCUCCACCGUCGGCGUGGUCACCAACAGAAGUUCGUUGACCUAAUCAGUGGGUUCUGCAAAUCAAAUCGGAGAGAAAGGCGAUUCCAGUGGCUCCAAUCGCUUCCUCACGGUGGUAUAACGCAGAAGAGGAGAUUCUUGGGAAGAAAAUAAAAGUACUUUAGUUUGUUUUGUCUUUUUCUUGUGGAUUACAGUAUUAUAGUGGGAAGCGAUCAAGGCAUAAGAGGGAUGAUCAUGGUACUAUCAUGGUACUGGAGACAAGCAUCAAGAUAACAGUGAUGAUGUUGGCGACAGGCUUCUCACUUCUGGAGAUGACUACACUAAAGAUGAAAAAUAAGGGGGAGAAAAGCAGAGAUAAAUAUCGGGAAGACAAAGAAGAAGACAUCAAACAUAAAGGUGACAAGAGAGGAAAUUAUUGUUUCUUUUGUUUCUGUUAUGUGAUCAAUGUAAGAGACUUUCAUUGUCUCUCAGUUUUUAAAAUGAAUGAAUACAGCUUUGAGUUUAACUUUGGCUUUGGCUUUG